UUUUUCACAGGGUAAGAUUUACAUUUUAUUUAUUGAAACUGCUUGCAUACAAAAUAUAUUGCACUAUAACCAGACAUGUCGACUCAGUACAACCCCACACUAAUUUUUCCCACCACUAUUAGUUAUGUACAAAUCAACACUUUAAAAGAGGAUUUCUAAAGUGCAGUGGAAUCCUCCAUACAAGGUUUUGAGAUUUAUUUAGACUACCCUGGUUUCAGUAUGUACAGCAUCUCUACUUGUCUUCAGUCUACAGUGAAGCAUCAGCUUUGAAAACGGUGUCAUCAUGUACACUUCACAAGUUUAAAAGGACACACCUUUUUCAUUCAGGAAAAUAAUGUCCAAAAGCAUUCUGGUAGUUCAACAUUUCUUACAUUGAAGAUCUGAACGCUCAGGGGGCAGCAGGCUGUUCCAUCAACCAUGAUGACCUUAAUGUCAUUUAGAAGAGCUGUUGUGUUCUUCAAUUGGAUGGGGUCAAAUUGGACUAUGGUGGCUCUCGAGACUCAUGCAUCUUAGGAAGAUCUCCUCACUGCGGCCGGCAAGCAUCCCAAAUGAGUUUCAUCAUUUUUUUGUUGUGUCUUGUACAUUGUUAUUUAAGACUUUUUUUUUUUUUUUUACAAAUGUAGCACAAAGCAUGCAAUGUUUGAAUCAUUUAAUAAGUAAGCCCUGUUUUCUGUCCCAGACUAUAGCAUGGGAGUAAAUAUGAGGCACAUUUUUUUUGGAGCGUGAGGGGGGUGUGGGACGGUAGCAUAAUAUGCACGGCUGGCAGUGCUAUCUUAUCCUCUUCCAAGUCCUUGACGUUAACUAGAGUCAUGCGGUUCAAAGUGUCCCACAACACUGUCUUCAAUGUCCUAAAGCCUUUGUCAUAGGACUAUUUCCCUUUCCCUCCCCCCCAUAGGUGGUAAUUUCUCACUUUUAUUUUACAGAUAACAGUCCAUGCAUUCCCCUUACGCCGUUUAAAUAAAAUAAAGACUAAUUCCCAUGUUGCAGCUGGUGUUGGGUAAUAAACAUCUCCCUCCUCUACUGACUUCAUCACUUUGACUGGACUCUGAGGGUUCUUGGAAGCAGAACAGAAUCCACCCCAAUAGUUAAACCCUAGAGCUAUACUGAGUGGUGCUGAUGUUGAAUUAAAGAUGCAUCAUCCAAUACGUCACAUGGUCCCUCUGGCCCGGUGCAAUGCCCGGCUUCCUGGUUGGGUACCAGCACCCAUUGUGUCGAGGGGAUAAACAUCCAGUGGUCCCAGUCCUGUGACUGCAAUGGCCAUCGACAUUGCUUUUUGGAGGCCAAGUCAACUCUUUGAUGCAGAUACUAAAUACUUAAAAUUAGUAAAUGAAAGAGCACACCACAAUAUAGAUAUUAAUACAUUUUUUUUAAAAAAAAGCGCACGCUUCAGCCCCAAAUGACAUUUCCCCACUGAUUUCAAGUUAAUUUGAAGGAUACUUUCCAGCCAAAGUCUGGUUUGUCUCAUAAGCUUAGUAAUGUACAGCAUGGAGUUUAAACCUUCAGGUUCGAUAAGAGAAUAGAACAUAAAACCUCUCCUUCUCCACCUCCCUCACAGUGCGUUUGAGAAAAACAAACGUAUCCUACACUCGCGAAACCAAGAGCCCAAAAAGCAUUGAGCUGCGAUUCAAUGUUUCUGGUGCCGAAUGCGCUCUGAGAUUACAGUUUGGGAAUUAUUUAAUAGUAGUAAUGGCAUUUUUGGUUUUAAUAGGCUUACACGCUCAACCCCAGAGCUGAGGUUAAUCCCUAGUGUCGUUUGCUAAAACUGAAAUCGAAGAAGCCAAUUAGCAGCCUUUUACUGCAGUGACCCCUUUGUUUGUCAAAUUCUUUGUAAAAAAUAAAAUAAAACAUGUGACUAUUUGUUCCAUAUAAUAUAUAGAGCAGGCAGUCAAUUUGGAGCUAUUGUUUGCUAGAAAUAGCAGAUUGGCCAAAGAAAGAUCUAGUCAUGUCUCCCCCUGACAUGGAGUGGACUACAGUUCACACAUUUAUUAUCAAGAGCUCUAGUAUUAAACACACAGAUCAGGGAUAAUAAGUGCACGUUUGAAAGAAUAGUACAAAUAGUUUUUUCUCUCAUUAGACAAUUCAAGACAUCAUUAUAUACAGUAUGCAAGUAAACUGGAUCCCUUCACCCCCUUUUAAUCUUUUACAAUCAAUGGAUAACCCUAUAUCCAGUAUGAACUCAAUGGCUAACUACUGUUGGCCAAUAUUCCAGUUGCUUUCAGAUUUGGACCCGAAUGCAUAGCAGAAAAAUAAGGAAGGAUGCUAAAUGCUUGCAGAAGGAGGUACGGUCACAUUAAUUAAAAAUAAAAAUAAAAAUGGGGAAACCACUUAGUGACAGGGGUUUUGAUUGUGGUCCUAAAUGCUUUUCCAACAUGAUUUUGAUAUUCCUACAUUCUGUUCAGAAAGCACCCAUGAUGCGACGCAGGGCAAUAAUCAUUCAAUAUUAUCAGAGAUACCGUUUCCCCCCCUCCACCCAGGCCAUGUGUCCUACCAGGUAAAAUCCAAACCAACAAGAGCGAGAAUCUACAGGCUGCGAGGGAAAUACAUCUUUUAACUUAUUUUGUGCUAAAAUUAGGGGUCAUUUUUAGCAUUUGUCCACAGGGAUCAUGGGAGAGCAAGAGAAAGAAAAAGUCCAAAGCGCCAUGGGUAAAAACGUUAAGAAAGGUCCCCAAUUCAUACCAAAUGGACCAGUAAUGGGCCUUAUGUUUACUAGCAGAACCAGUUAUAGGCCUUAUGUAUACUAGCAGAACCAGUGAUAGGCCUUAUUUUUACUAGCAGGACAGACAGAGCUUUGGUGGCUGUCGAUACAUCAGCUGCAUAAAGAUGGCAGUAAACCAAACCCCCCUGCCCCCCCUCAAACUAUCCUCCAUGUUUAGAAAAAGCACUAGGCUGGCUCACAGGGCUGUACAGUGCGUCCAUGGAUGCGAUGUUAACCAUCUUUUAUAUACCUGCACCAAAAGUGUCCUCCCUGAUUUAGACGUCUACGGUAUACUAGCCACGAACUCCAAGGCACAGGGCACACAAACUAUGGCUGGGUUUCCCCAAGUGUUCGUAGCCUACUAACCAAUCACGUGUUUGCAUUUGCAGGACGUAGCGGCGCCCGGUUAUCAAUCAAAAAUAGAUUUGACUUUUUUUUUUCCUUUUCACUGAUGGGACACAAAACACAGAAAUACAUGAAAUAAUAAUAUAAAAGUGCAAACUAGCGCCACAUUUUUACAAGCAAAAUGCAGUUAAUCGAUGCUAUGUGCAACGUCGAAUCUAUUGCAGUGCAAAGAAAAUAACAAAGAAAAAGUCCAUUAAUACCCAAUAAAGGCUACGAACAGUCUGAGAAGCCCUUACACGGUCGAUAUUACACGUUUACACACCGACGACACUACUUAAGUCCCUUAGGGUUUAGUCGUUAGGAAAUUCUCUAAAGUCUCCAUGUCCACUGGUACACACUUAAUUGCAAUUCUACACAAAUCCAUUCAAACCACAGCAAUCACUUCUAAGUCAUCAUAAGACAAGUGGACAAGGUGCGGCGGUCAGGAAUGGCUUCCAUCAGAGGGCCAGCUCGUAGUCCGUUCAGCUGCUGCCGUGGAUACAGUUCUAGAUGUUUCCAUGGAGAACGCUCCAGAGCCAUUCAUUGAGUUGGAGGUCCACAAUGGAUCGUUGGUUUAAAAAAGUUUUUGUUUGUGUCAUUACUUUAAAAAGGUCUGAGAUAUAUUUCACCAUGAGAAAUAAACAAUUCUGUGCUGGUCUAAUGAAGGAUCUUGCAGUCAGGUUCUUAUUUGGACGCCUCUUUGAGCAGGAGGAGUGGAACAGGAAUGGAGAAUGUCACCAAGAGGAUCGCGGGCAAGAAGACAGCUGUCUCAGUAUAGACAAUUUGUAUAAAAAUUUAAAAGGAACAGCAUAUGCAACACCUAGUUAGAAUAUACGGUCGGUUGGGUUUCAAACCCACACAAUUUGGUCAAAAUAAACCGGUCUAAAAAUACUAAAUUAAAAAACGGGGGUUCCAGUGGUCACUAUUUAAAUGGAUUCCUCAUAAGGAAGCGACAAGGGGAGGUCGUAACGCCGGACUUCAUGUACAAUUAAAAAGGACUUUCUCGUCAGCAUGAUGACGCACGGAGAAAGUCAAGCGCUUGAAACUAACUGAUAUUGGGGGUACACCUUUCACCUAGCCCCGGCAACAUAAUCAAAACGGCCCAUGAAUGAAUUGUAAUGAAAACAUUUUCCUGGCCCUUAAACAACGAACCCUCGACAAACGGCCAGCACUUCUACGGCUGGCCCCUCAGAGACACUGCAGUCCCGUUUUGAAUUCACCUCACAGAUCAGACGCACCGCGGCGGCGGAGUCUAGCAGGGGAAGGUCGAGCAAGGUCAGGGACACCUGUGGUGCUUACAAUUACAUGCAGCCGAACGUUCACCCCUGCUGCUGGCCUCGUAAACCAAUUAUUCACUCGAUAGUCCCGUUGGUCAGCAUGGGAGCGGGGACGGGGGGAAGCGAGGAGGAAUGUAAAAACUGUGACUGCGAUGGGUAGUGGACCGAAUCUUGUUCUAUUCUACCUUCCCAUCGGUACGAAUGAGUCACUUUUCUUCAGGAUUUUCCUCGAGAGCGGCGAAUCCCAGGAACCCCAGGUGCAGAUCACAACAGAGCGCGCUAGAUAGCAAAGAAACGUACGUAGAUACGACCGAAAAACUAAAACCCAUUGAAGUAAAGAAUCUCCAGAUUCGAAGGAGUGCGUGUUCGCACGUGUAUGAACGCCUAACUCAGACGAGGGACAGAGCGACAGAGCGGGGCCCUAACACAGAGGCCCCCUGUAUUCUACUGUGUGUGUGUGUGUUUUCUGAACGUAUGGAGAUGACGACAGUCCACCACGCCCACCGCUGGUCAUUAGCAC
ensembl:lncRNA